AUACCUUUCUCGGCCUUUUGGCUAAGAUCAAGUGUAGUAUCUGUUCUUAUCAGUUUAAUAUCUGAUAUGUGGGUCAUCGACCUACUCGAUAUUAAUCUUAUUUUUGGAGGGGAAAGGCCGUCACGCUAGCUUGCUAGUGGGUCUGUUUUUAGUUAAAUUGUCGCCUUGGUCCUACACUAUCACCAAGGUCUGGCACCCCAAUU